GUUGUAGUCUGGAGAAGCGUCUUCCGCGUUGGACCGUGUACAAGUCUCUUGGAACAGAGCGUCAUAGAGGGUGAGAAUCCCGUCUUUGACACGGACUACCAAUGCUUUGUGAUGCGCUCUCAAAGAGUCGCGUUGUUUGGGAAUGCAGCGCAAAAUGGGAGGUGAAUUCCUUCUAAAGCUAAAUAUUGGCGAGAGACCGAUAGCGAACAAGUACCGUGAGGGAAAGAUGAAAAGCACUUUGGAAAGAGAGUUAAACAGUACGUGAAAUUGCUAAAAGGGAAACGCUUGAAGUCAGUCGCAUCGUCCGGAACUCAGCCUUGCUUCGGCUUGGUGCAUUUUCCGGUUGAUGGGCCAGCAUCGAUUUUGACCGCUGGAAAAGGGCUGGAGGAAUGUGGCACCCUCGGGUGUGUUAUAGCCUUCAGUCGCAUACAGCGGUUGGGAUCGAGGAACGCAGCGCGCCUUAUGGCUGGGGUUCGCCCACAUUCGCGCUUAGGAUGCUGGCAUAAUGGCUUUAAACGACCCGUCUUGAAACACGGACCAAGGAGUCUAACAUGCCUGCGAGUGUUUGGGUGGAAAACCCGAGCGCGUAAUGAAAGUGAAAGUUGAGACCUCUGUCGUGGAGGGCAUCGACGCCCGGACCUGACGUUUUCUGAAGGAUCCGCGGUAGAGCAUGUAUGUUGGGACCCGAAAGAUGGUGAACUAUGCCUGAAUAGGGUGAAGCCAGAGGAAACUCUGGUG
rnacentral:rRNA from 1 species